AGCGAACGCUGGCGGCAGGCCUAACACAUGCAAGUCGAACGAACCUUUCGGGGUUAGUGGCGGACGGGUGAGUAACACGUGGGAACGUGCCUUUAGGUUCGGAAUAACUCAGGGAAACUUGUGCUAAUACCGAAUGUGCCCUUCGGGGGAAAGAUUUAUCGCCUUUAGAGCGGCCCGCGUCUGAUUAGCUAGUUGGUUGAGGUAAUGGCUCACCAAGGCGACGAUCAGUAGCUGGUCUGAGAGGAUGAUCAGCCACAUUGGGACUGAGACACGGCCCAAACUCAGGGGGGGGGCAGGGGGGGGGCAGGAGGCAGAAGAGGAAGCGGGGAGACGAGGAAAGGCGGCGGGAUUGAAAAAGGUGUGAGGAUGAUAAAUUUCUUGCGGGAGGAAAGAUAAGGGCAGAAACGGGAGAAGAAGACCCUGAUAGCGGGGGCCAGGAAGCCGGGGUAAUGGGGCGAAGAACAGACGUCAGAGC
rnacentral:rRNA from 1 species